rnacentral:rRNA from 1 species
UGGGGAAUAUUGCACAAUGGGGGAAACCCUGAUGCAGCGACGCCGCGUGAGCGAAGAAGGUUUUCGAAUCGUAAAGCUCUGUCCUAUGAGAAGAUAAUGACGGUAUCAUAGGAGGAAGCCCUGGCUAAAUACGUGCCAGCAGCCGCGGUAAUACGUAUGGGGCGAGCGUUGUCCGGAAUUAUUGGGCGUAAAGGGUACGUAGGCGGUUUUUUAAGUCAGGUGUCAAAGCGUGGAGCUUAACUCCAUUAAGCACUUGAAACUGAAAGACUUGAGUGAAGGAGAGGAAAGUGGAAUUCCUAGUGUAGCGAUGAAAUGCGUAGAUAUUAGGAGGAAUACCGGUGGCGAAGGCGACUUUCUGGACUUUUACUGACGCUCAGGUACGAAAGCGUGGGGAGCAAACAGG